AACAGGAGAAUGAUGGCUUGAAACGGUUUGAUGAGGUUAUCCAUGGUAAACAGCGCAAGUUUUUCAGGAGGAAGGCCAAAUCUCUAGAAAAGAACCAAUCAAAGGAAAUUAAACCUUCUCAAGCUUCAAAUAGGAUUGUCAUUUUAAAGCCUGGACCUAUAGGAGUGCAAAAACCAGAAACUGAAGGAAGAGUUGGUUCAUCUCCAGAAUCGCAAAUUACCAUAAGAAACAAGGGACCAAAUGAAAGAGUUGGUUCCUACUUUUUUUUCACUGAAAUUAAAAGAAGGUUAAAACAAGCCAUGGGGAAAGAGCA
rnacentral:misc_RNA from 1 species